CCGACGUUCAAGACGAAUGCGCACAGGCGUUACGGUUCUUCAUUAAGGAUUUAUCUCUGGAAGACUGAAAGCAAGGCAUUAAGCGAUGUAGAGGACUGUGACGUGAAUGACCCCCUGCCUCUGAUGUCUGAGGUUUUUGUCACCAUUUGGGGGUUACCAUACUUUCAUUUUUUAAAAGUCUGCCUCCCUUUUUGGUUGACCUGCAGUGAUUAAAGCAAAAUGCGCACGGGACUUAGGGGUUCUUUUAGAAGUGGAAGAACCACUCAUAGUUUCAUGGUCACAGCCAAACCAGGACUUGACAUGACCCUGGAAUUAAUACAGCUCAUUGCAGAGGAAACCAACUAGUUUAAGGAGAUAGAAGGGGGCCAUUGGAAGACAUAAUUGAAAGUAAGUACCUUGUUU